rnacentral:tRNA from 1 species
GUGAAUUUAGUUUAAAAGACAAAACAUUUGAUUUGCAUUUAAAAAAUCCAGGUUUAAUUCCUGGAAUUCACA